rnacentral:rRNA from 1 species
GAUGAACGCUGGCGGCGCGCCUAACACAUGCAAGUCGAACGGCACCCCUCUCCGGAGGGAAGCGAGUGGCGAACGGCUGAGUAACACGUGGAGAACCUGCCCCCUCCCCCGGGAUAGCCGCCCGAAAGGACGGGUAAUACCGGAUACCCCGGGGUGCCGCAUGGCACCCCGGCUAAAGCCCCGACGGGAGGGGAUGGCUCCGCGGCCCAUCAGGUAGACGGCGGGGUGACGGCCCACCGUGCCGACAACGGGUAGCCGGGUUGAGAGACCGACCGGCCAGAUUGGGACUGAGACACGGCCCAGACUCCUGCGGGAGGCAGCAGUGGGGAAUCUUGCGCAAUGGGGGGAACCCUGACGCAGCGACGCCGCGUGCGGGACGGAGGCCUUCGGGUCGUAAACCGCUUUCAGCAGGGAAGAGUCAAGACUGUACCUGCAGAAGAAGCCC